rnacentral:lncRNA from 1 species
UCAUCCCAUAACCCUAAAAAGUCUAAAAUAAAAUUGAAUAUGGCGCCAAAUUGAAAGCUAGGUGUCUCAGACCGCAAGAGCGCUGCCAGCGCUGGAAGGUCUAAAUAGUAAAGAGUGACUAAAGACUAAAAGAGUGGAAGGUCUAAAUAGUAUGUAGUCUGUGGCCAGACGAUUCGACUGAUUAGAGUUGAUUGAUUGCGGAUGCGUCCCUAUUGGAAUAAUUGUUGAUCUUUGCACUAUCGAGCGGUUUAGAUGCGAAGCCGCUUUCGCAACGUUAAUCAGAUUAGGUUCGUCCUGACAGACCUCCACUGGAAAAACUAGAAGGUCGCACUUGUACCGCGCAAAAAAGCGACAAUUUUCGCUAGAUGUGUGCAGUUUAAGCGACGGCAACGUUGCCGUUUGCGUAAGAAAUUUCGCUUGGAGAGGAGUAUUGGAUGUGAAAGUGAUGUGAUGUUGCUUUUACUCGGACAAUAACUGAAAGUUUAUCGGACGUCGGGCAUGAGAACUGGUCGAACAGCAAAGGUUGCUGUGGGGAGUGAUUUUCGUUUUUUUUUUGUUUGUCUUACAUCCGCCGGCUCGUUAUCAUCAUCCUUUUCCUCUUCCUCCGUCCGCUUUGUUGUUUAUCAUUGAGAGGAUGGCGAUGGGUGAGGUGGUUCCGAACGGGGCUGCUCCGCCCAAUGAGCGGCAACGCCGCAACGGCGCACGAGCGUCGUCAGCGACUUCGACGGUUUUCGCUCUUCUUCGUCUGCGUCAUCGCGACCUACUAACCUCGUUAGCGGACCUCGCGGCGCUGUUGUGAUGUGUUGGCGCUGCCCGAAGUGCGGCGAAACCGGCCGAUUUCAUUCAGUCGCCGACAGUUGCGAAGUGUAGUCACGAACAGCGGAACCGCGUUUCAGUGUCAGCGGAUUCGCGAACGUUUGCCGUCGCGACGUUCAUCCGCUCGCGCGUUUGGGAAACUUGACAUCGUCGCACACCGGCGAACUUGAUUCUAUCAAGUCGGCGAUGGCCGCUGCUCUUGUUCCUACUUGGAUUACGACUUGGUUACUUCAUCUCUAAUACGGGGAACAGUGUCAGUGGAAUCUGUGACUACUAACCCAACUUUCCUUUUAGCGUCGUCGCUAAUUAGUGUGGCUGUGCGAUUAUGUGUGCUCUAGUCAGUGCGUAACUGUCCUGUGAUUGUAGCUCCUUUUUCCCCCUUUUGGAUAUAGUAUGUUGGAACACAGUGCUAUGUAUCUCAACGCUACUCCCCCCUAUGAAGAGGACACCUUCUUUUCAGAGUUUUACACACGGUGAGUUUGCCCAGAGCAUCCAGCCAGCAUCGGCUUGGACGCGCCCAAAAAAAUGCAAGUAUUCAAAAAACACCCAGUAUAUACCAGUGUACAAUUGCGUGGCAACUUCCUAGUCGAUUAUUCAGCUAAAUGGCAGUUUCAUGUAGCUGAGCGCUUAGUUUUAACUGGGACAUGCAACCGAAAGCGAAUCGAUAAGCUUGGAAACGCCACGGAAACUACAACGGAAACUUGUUUCUAUUUGUUUUUCCACUUUGUUUCAGUCGCUAUUUAAGAAACUUUUGAACUGCAAUUAGAGAACCGAACGCAACAAAUCUCGUCUAAGUGUAAUUUUCCUUUCAUGAGUUUGUAUUUUUUGAUGGAUUGGAUGAGGUUGUGACUAGACGUUUCGCUUACAUUUGCUGCAAUCAUUUUCAAAGGCCUUGAACCGUUUUUGUGAGUUUUAGAAUUUAAUUAAACUGUCUGAUUUGUGGGCCGUUAAUAUACUAAUAAGAAAGCCAUUGUGUGUCUAUGCCUUGAAACUUGGUCAGAAAUAAAAAAAUUGAAAGUA